rnacentral:rRNA from 1 species
UACGUAGGGUGCGAGCGUUAAUCGGAAUUACUGGGCGUAAAGCGUGCGCAGGCGGUUCGUUGUGUCGGCGGUGAAAGCCCCGGGCUCAACCUGGGAAUGGCCGUUGAAACUGGCGAACUGGAGUAUGGCAGAGGGGGGUGGAAUUCCGCGUGUAGCAGUGAAAUGCGUAGAGAUGCGGAGGAACACCGAUGGCGAAGGCAGCCCCCUGGGCUGACACUGACGCUCAGGCACGAAAGCGUGGGGAGCAAACAGG